CGCGCUCACGCUGCGCGGCCUAUCGGGCGCUGAGGCCCGGCGAGGUGCAGUGGCGCCGGGGCCGAGGGGAGAAAUGCAGAGGCUGGUGCAAACCCCAUCUCCUCCGCGGCGCAGCCCCGCCGCCUCUGCUGCAGGUUCUAGAAGCGUAACGUGGAGAGGGUGAGGGACUCCAGAAGUUUGGUGUGUUGGGCUCCACUGUUUUUCUCCAAUUUUGAAUCAGGCUUAGAAUUGGAGACAACCCUAGAGGAGGAUUCUAAGUGCCUACCUUGACUAUGAAACAAGCUCACUGAUGGGGCUCUGAAGAGGGGAGCCAUUUUCACUUCAAUUCCAGAGGACAGGUGAAGGAAGCUUGAAUGGUCUCAUUAGCCUAUAGCCUGGAUUUCUUCGA